rnacentral:rRNA from 1 species
GAUGAACGCUAGCUACAGGCUUAACACAUGCAAGUCGAGGGGUAACGAGAGGAAAGCUUGCUUUCCUUGUCGACGACCGGCGCACGGGUGAGUAACGCGUAUCGAACCUGCCCCCAACUAAGGAAUAAGCUUGCGAAAGUAAGACUAAUAGCUUAUAAUUUCCUCAGAUGUCAUCUGACGAGGAAUAAAGAUUUAUCGGUUGUGGAUGGGGAUGCGUAUGAUUAGCUUGUUGGCGGGGGAACGGCCCACCAAGGCAACGAUCAGUAGGGGGUCGGAGAGGAAGGUCACCCACAUUGGAACUGAGACACGGUCCAAACUCCUACGGGAGGCAGCAGAGAGGAAUAUUGGUCAAUGGGCGAAAGCCUGAACCAGCCAAGUAGCGUGCAGGAUGACGGCCCUAUGGGUUGUAAACUGCUUUUAUACAGGAAUAAAGUUAGCCACGUGUGGUUAUUUGUAGGUACUGUAUGAAUAAGGACCGGCUAAUUCCGUGCCAGCCGCCGCAGUAA